GGCUAUGUAAACCUCUACAAAAGCCCGUGUUGGGGAGGAAGAGUAUUUGAGCCCAACUAGAAGCAGUGGAGGAAAGAAGGCAUGCAAAGAAGAGGAAGGGAGUUCCUAAUGCCUGAGUGGGACAACUCAGUUGCAGAGAACAGAGGAAAGAAUGCAAAAGGAGGAGAAGCAGCCUACUGGGUGCAGCUGAACAAAGUGAUCACUUGGUGUGAAAGGGCGCACACAGCUAGCCAGUAUACUGUGGACCCAGUCACUGACAUGUCUCAAGGCUGCUGCACAACAGUACUGCCAUGAUGUGCUUUCAACUACACAGAAGUGUUCCUGACUUCUUGCUGCCUUUGCUUUCAGUGUCAAUGAUUGGAAAUACAUCAAUAUGAAGUUAUCUGUGCCUUUAGGCAGUUGUCCAACACAGCAGGUGAAGGGGAGAGAGAGAGAGGAAGCAAUAUAAAGAAGUUGGAACAAGGUGACAGGUAUCCCAAGCUAAGGCAAGCAAGGCAGUGACAACAAUAACAAAUCAACAUGCAGCACACUGCUAGGGUCAGAAUCAGCCUACACGAUUUCCCAACUCUCCGAGCUUAUCCAGCAGCAUCUGCUGCUUCUGUCUGUGACUGCCGCUGUUCUUCUGCAUCAUGCCUCCAAUGACUCAUUUUGCUUUGGACCGGUCAUGCUGUGCUUACGCUGGUUUAAGCCAUCCGAGUCAGACUCUGUUCACAGGGGCUUUUAUAUCAGGGUAGCUAUACUGAUGCAAACCUACAGUAUAGACCUGCUACACUAGUGUACUUGUUCUGGUUCAGCAUCUUCCAGAUACACUAUACCAGUGGUGCUCAACCUUUUGGUCCUCAGGCCAAAUGAGUAACACGGGGCCCAUUU